GAUGAACGCUGGCGGCGUGCCUAAUACAUGCCAGUCGAGCGAACGGACGAGAAGCUUGCUUCUCUGAUGUUAGCGGCGGACGGGUGAGUAACACGUGGAUAACCUACCUAUAAGACUGGGAUAACUUCGGGAAACCGGAGCUAAUACCGGAUAAUAUUUUGAACCGCAUGGUUCAAAAGUGUAAGACGGUCUUGCUGUCACUUAUAGAUGGAUCCGCGCUGCAUUAGCUAGUUGGUAAGGUAACGGCUUACCAAGGCAACGAUGCAUAGCCGACCUGAGAGGGUGAUCGGCCACACUGGAACUGAGACACGGUCCAGACUCCUACGGGAGGCAGCAGUAGGGAAUCUUCCGCAAUGGGCGAAAGCCUGACGGAGCAACGCCGCGUGAGUGAUGAAGGUCUUCGGAUCGUAAAACUCUGUUAUUAGGGAAGAACAUAUGUGUAAGUAACUGUGCACAUCUUGACGGUACCUAAUCAGAAAGCCACGGCUAACUACGUG
rnacentral:rRNA from 1 species